UCAACCCAAAUCGUGGUCUAUAUAAACACCCCUCAAGUCUGCCUAUUCUCUCAUAACCAACUCUGAAAGGAGGCCGGUGAUGGUAGGUUCAGAGUAUGAGCACGGUUCCAGUCGGAGCUCGUCUUCACCGCAAGGCUAAAAGGAGGUGAUGGUAGACCACGGCAGCUAGUUCAUGAAUACCCUUAGGUGCACACGACAGCUAUGGCCAUGUCGGCAUACUAAGGGUUUGCAUGAGGUAGGAAACAGAGGCUAGCUACCUUGAUCUUUUUGCCUUGUGGUGAAGUGAGUUCUGAAUGGUCUUCCGUACUCUAUUAAUUUUCAGUUUGGUUACUUUAAUAAACAAAAUAACAGCACAUUUUAAUACGUCACAUUAAAGAGAGUAUCAAUCUGUCGUAGCCAAAGUCUGCACAUUUUCUCAUAGCCAAAUCUGAAAGGAGGUCAGGUGAUCGAUGGAAGAUACAAAUAUGGUCUAAAAGUAAGACGUGCGAACUUCAAAAAAACUCAGCGAGAUAACCGGGUCCUUUGUGGUGGCUUCAUUUGCGAGCUCCAAAAUCUCAAGUUCGUAGAUGAUAAUUAAGUUCAAACUUAGUGUAGCAAAUUUGAGAUUCUUGGAUCUGGUCUAUCCUCCAAUAGUUUCAUUAUGAUUUAAGUUAACAUUUUCAUUAUGAUCAUAGUCGAUAUCUUAUUCGUA